rnacentral:rRNA from 1 species
UACGUAGGGUGCAAGCGUUGUCCGGAAUUAUUGGGCGUAAAGAGCUCGUAGGCGGUUUGUCGCGUCUGCUGUGAAAACUCGGGGCUUAACCCCGGGCCUGCAGUGGGUACGGGCAGACUAGAGUGCGGUAGGGGAGACUGGAAUUCCUGGUGUCGCGGUGAAAUGCGCAGAUAUCAGGAGGAACACCGGUGGCGAAGGCGGGUCUCUGGGCCGUAACUGACGCUGAGGAGCGAAAGCGUGGGGAGCGAACAGG